GUCCCCGUCGUCUAGCCUGGCCCAGGACACCGCCCUUUCACGGCGAUAACACGAGUUCAAAUCUCGUCGGGGACG
rnacentral:tRNA from 1 species